UCUCCCUCGCAUCUCUGGCGUAGCCGUCGCUCUCGCUCCCCUCCUCUCCGGCCCGAGCGACCGCUUCUCCUCUGCGCCUCCCUCCUCCUCCUGACCGUCCCUUGUGCUAGCCCCUCUCUGCCAUGAACUGCGGAGGAGCUAUCAGUAGCGGCGGAGGUCGGGCUCUUGGGGGUGAGGCUAGAGAAGUCCAGGCGGAGCACGCCGCCGCCGUUGCAACCAGCCGUGCCUUGGGCGACGCCGACGAGCUCCAAUGGCUUGACGCCACCAACGCGCCUCGGUGGAUCAAUCUGGCGCCAAGAACCGUCCCAGCCUUGCUUCAUCUCUGCUGCCGCCCCCUCCCCUUCCACCCUAGCCACCGCCCCCGUCGCGCGACUGCGAACCCGCCCUCCCAUCCCCCUCUCCUCUCCACUCUCCUCGAUUCCAGUUUCUAAUUAGCAGUCAAGGAGUAGAUAACUGCACAACUUUGGACAUGCAUGAGGUAGUGGUUGUUAAAAAGAUAGAUGACUGUAACAAAUAAUGAGAACAAGGAGCCAGAAAUAUUGGAAAACGACCAUAAGAUAGAUAGUGGAUUUAGUGAUUUGGUUAUUAUGGAGGUUGAUGGAACUUGGUCUACUGUCGGAAUUCAGAGCCAUAAAGCAUUGGACUUGGACAAGCAACAAACAAUCAAAGACGUGUACGUGACUGCUCCAUGGUUCAGAGCUCUUCCAUGGCAGAAAGCAGCGGUCCCAAGGCCAAGGACAGUUGUUGUAAGGAAUAUGUUUCCAUGCACCUUCCUCGACCUUUAGGACUGAGAAUGUGGCCAAGGGGAUCCUGUGGUGCGGGGUGAUGACCGUGGACACGCUCCGCUGGGGGAAUGAGGUGCUCCGGAAGAGGAUCCAGCCUGGCGAUACUGAGGCUGAGGUCAGCUUGGAGAUGCGCAUGCGCAUCGAAAGAUGACGAGCGUGGCAAUCUCGGCGGGCUCGCUAAAGUCAGGGGAAGGAGAGAAACAAUGGGGAGCAUAACAUGGAUGUGGGGCAGGAGAGGCCGUGGUCGGAGCGGCACUGCGUGGGCAUAUUGGGUAUUAUUUGAGCUGAUACUCCAUUUUCUUACAAGAGAUGUGGUCCCAUCAAUGUUGGCUGUCGAAUUUGUGCUGCAGUCCAUGCCCACCAUGUCCGAGUCUUCGCCCCUUCGUCAUCCAACACAAACAGCAGAACAGAGUAGAAGUUGUGAUUUGCCAGGUUGGAGAACUGACGCAGCUUGCUGUCACGGAGUGCUCGCCCUUCUUCUGUGCCAUAAAGCCCCUCGGUCGAAACUUGCAAAUCAAAAUUGCCGACCCUGUCAAUCUCGCUGGAACGACGUCUAGCUCGUUGUGCUCCACUCACUCUAACGGCAUAUCUCAUAACUAAAGCUAUGAACAAGUGCUUCAGUUAUGCUGGUGGCAAUACAUUGCUUGAGGUGACCUCGUGUGCAAGAUUAUCCCCAUGGAGGGCGCUGGCACGGAGACAUUUGCUCACAUCAGUACUAAUGAGCAGCCUGGUUGGGUGGUGACGUUUCCGAGUGGCCAAGCAAGAGCUUUUUUUUGGUCUACACCUAUGCAGUGGUGACUUCUGCUACAAUGUGCAUCAACACCAGAACCAUGUUCCUGAUCAUGGACGCUGUUGUGUCCCUCACCGGCUCUCUCCUUGCCAUCACCGACAGGGUUGUGCAGGCCACUACUCGCGCAACUACUUUGCAGUGUGGAGCAUGCCAUCGAGAUAGACCAAAAGAAGAACACCGCCGGCAACAACACCAAUGGGGGCCUCCCUGGUUUCCACCACCGCUGUUGCCAUCGUCUCCCUCCCCGCCGCCCCACACCACACUGCCAGAUAGGUCUGUGUGCUUUGCCCUUGCCCCCUGCUUAUUGCACUCAGGAUGUGUUGGUGCCAUGCUUUGCCUAUAUGUAAUCUCCUAUUCUGUUGUAAAAUUCUUUUUGCUUAUGAUUUCUUACUGUAGUGUGAAAUUUUAAUUGCUUGGGUUGUUACUGCUAUGCAAAUAUAUUGCUAUAUUUUAGGUUUGUUA